rnacentral:rRNA from 1 species
UACGGGGGGGGCAAGCGUUGUUCGGAAUUACUGGGCGUAAAGGGCUCGUAGGCGGCCAACUAAGUCAGACGUGAAAUCCCUCGGCUUAACCGGGGAACUGCGUCUGAUACUGGAUGGCUUGAGAUUGGGAGAGGGAUGCGGAAUUCCAGGUGUAGCGGUGAAAUGCGUAGAUAUCUGGAGGAACACCGGUGGCGAAGGCGACAUCCUGGACCAACACUGACGCUGAGGAGCGAAAGCCAGGGGAGCAAACGGG